CAGCAGCCGCGGUAAUACGUAGGGUGCAAGCGUUAAUCGGAAUUACUGGGCGUAAUGCGUGCGCAGGCGGUUCGUUAAGACAGAUGUGAAAUCCCCGGGCUUAACCUGGGAACUGCAUUUGUGGCUGGCGGGCUAGAGUAUGGCAGAGGGGGGUAGAAUUCCACGUGUAGCAGUGAAAUGCGUAGAGAUGUGGAGGAAUACCGAUGGCGAAGGCAGCCCCCUGGGCCAAUACUGACGCUCACGCACGAAAGCGUGGGGAGCAAACAGGAUUAGAUACCCCGGUAGUCCCUGUCUCUUAUAC
rnacentral:rRNA from 1 species